GCAGGCGCGAAACCUUUACACUGCACGACAGUGCGAUAGGGGGAUCCCAAGUGCACAGGCAUAGCGCCUGUGCUUUUCGGUACCCUAAGGCGGUACCAGAAUAAGGGCUGGGCAAGACCGGUGCCAGCCGCCGCGGUAAUACCGGCAGCCCAAGUGAUGGCCGAUCUUAUUGGGCCUAAAGCGUCCGUAGCUGGCCGUACAAGUCCAUCGGGAAAUCCACCUGCUCAACAGGUGGGCGCCCGGUAGAAACUGUGCGGCUUGGGACCGGAAGGCGCGACGGGUACGUCCGGGGUAGGAGUGAAAUCCCGUAAUCCUGGACGGACCGCCGAUGGCGAAAGCACGUCGCGAGAAUGGAUCCGACAGUGAGGGACGAAAGCCAGGGUCUCGAACCGGAUUAGAUACCCGGGUAGUCCUGGCCGUAAACAAUGUCUGCUAGGUGUGGCUCCCACUACGAGUGGGUGCUGUGCCGUAGGGAAGCCGCUAAGCAGACCGCCUGGGAAGUACGUCCGCAAGGAUGAAACUUAAAGGAAUUGGCGGGGGAGCACUACAACCGGAGGAGCCUGCGGUUUAAUUGGAUUCAACGCCGG
rnacentral:rRNA from 1 species